rnacentral:rRNA from 1 species
UACGGGAGGCAGCAGUGGGGAAUAUUGCGCAAUGGGGGCAACCCUGACGCAGCCAUGCCGCGUGAAUGAAGAAGGCCUUCGGGUUGUAAAGUUCUUUCGGUAGCGAGGAAGGCAUUUAGUUUAAUAGACUAGGUGAUUGACGUUAACUACAGAAGAAGCACCGGCUAACUCCGUGCCAGCAGCCGCGGUAAUACGGAGGGUGCGAGCGUUAAUCGGAAUAACUGGGCGUAAAGGGCACGCAGGCGGUGACUUAAGUGAGGUGUGAAAGCCCCGGGCUUAACCUGGGAAUUGCAUUUCAUACUGGGUCGCUAGAGUACUUUAGGGAGGGGUAGAAUUCCACGUGUAGCGGUGAAAUGCGUAGAGAUGUGGAGGAAUACCGAAGGCGAAGGCAGCCCCUUGGGAAUGUACUGACGCUCAUGUGCGAAAGCGUGGGGAGCAAACAGGAUUAGAUACCCUGGUAGUCCACGCUGUAAACGAUGUCGAUUUGGGGGUUGAGCUUUAAGUUUGGCGCCCGUAGCUAACGUGAUAAAUCGACCGCCUGGGGAGUACGGCCGCAAGGUUAAAACUCAAAUGAAUUGACGGGGGCCCGCACAAGAAGGGCGAAUU